rnacentral:rRNA from 1 species
AUUGAACGCUGGCGGCAAGCCUAACACAUGCAAGUCGAACGAGUGGCGGACGGGUGAGUAAUGUCUGGGAAACUGCCUGAUGGAGGGGGAUAACUACUGGAAACGGUAGCUAAUACCGCAUACCCUCGGAUGUGCCAAGAUGGGAUUAGCUAGUAGGUGGGGUAAAGGCUCACCUAGGCGAAGAUCCCGAGCUGGUCUGAGAGGAGGACCAGCCACACUGGAACUGAGAAAGGGUCCAGACUCCUACGGGAGGCAGCAGUGGGGAAUAUUGCACAAGGGGCGCAAGCCUGAUGCAGCCAGGCCGCGUGGAUGAAGAAGGCCUUCGGGUUGUAAAGUACUUUCAGCGGGGAGGCGUUACCCGCAGAAGAAGCACCGGCUAACUCCGUGCCAGCCGCCGCGGUAAUUC